rnacentral:rRNA from 1 species
GACGAACGCUGGCGGCGUGCUUAACACAUGCAAGUCGAACGGAAAGGCCCUGCUUUUGUGGGGUGCUCGAGUGGCGAACGGGUGAGUAACACGUGAGUAACCUGCCCCUGACUUUGGGAUAACUUCAGGAAACUGGGGCUAAUACCGGAUAGGAGCUCCUGCUGCAUGGUGGGGGUUGGAAAGUUUCGGCGGUUGGGGAUGGACUCGCGUUGUAUCAGCUAGUUGGUAGGGUAGUAGCUUACCAAGGCGUUGACGCAUAGCUGGCCGGAGAGGAUGAUCGGCCAGAAUUGGAGUGAGACACGGCCCAGACUGCUACGGGAGGGAGCAGUGGGGAAUAUUGUAGACUGGGGCAAAGCCUGAUCCAGCAAUGCCGCGUGAGUGAUGAAGGCAGUAGGGUUGUAAAGCUCUUUUACCCGGGAUGAUAAUGACAGUAACGGGAGAAUAAGCUCCGGCUAACUCCGUG